AUACAUGCAGUCGUACGAAGGAGCUUGCUCCUUAGUGGCGAACGCGGUGAGUAAUACAUAAAUAAUCUGCCUCAAUGUCUGGGAUAACUAUUGGAAACGAUAGCUAAUACCGGAUAGCUUGUUAGAAGACAUCUUCUUUCAACUAAAGGAGCGUUCGCUCCGCUUUGAGAUGAGUUUAUGGCGCAUUAGUUAGUUGGCGGGGUAAUGGCCCACCAAGACGAUGAUGCGUAGCCGAUCUGAGAGGAUGACCGGCCACACUGGGACUGAGACACGGCCCAGACUCCUACGGGAGGCAGCAGUAGGGAAUUUUCGGCAAUGGGCGAAAGCCUGACCGAGCAACGCCGCGUGAGUGAUGAAGGCCUUCGGGUUGUAAAGCUCUGUUGUUAGGGAAGAAUGAUCAGGAUAGGAAAUGAUCUUGAAGUGACGGUACCUAACCAGAAAGCCACGGCUAACUACGUGCCAGCAGCCGCGGUAAUACGUAGGUGGCAAGCGUUAUCCGGAAUUAUUGGGCGUAAAGGGUGCGUAGGCGGUUUCUUAAGUCUUAUGUGAAAUCUCAGAGCUUAACUCUGGGCUGCAUAAGAAACUAUUAGACUAGAGUGCAGGAGAGGGCAACGGAAUUCCAUGUGUAGCGGUAAAAUGCGUAGAUAUAUGGAGGAACACCGGUGGCGAAGGCGGUUGCCUGGCCUGUUACUGACGCUGAAGCACGAAAGCGUGGGGAGCAAAUAGGAUUAGAUACCCUAGUAGUCCACGCUGUAAACGAUGAAUACUAAGUGUUGGGAUAAAACUCAGUGCUGCAGUUAACGCAAUAAGUAUUCCGCCUGGGGAGUACGCACGCAAGUGUG
rnacentral:rRNA from 1 species